CCUGUGCCUAGAGGCUUUGCAUGUGUGGACACUGGGUCACAUGUGCUUUGGCAGGCAGAAGAGAUUAGAGUAGCUUUGUCUAUGCUCAGGGUUCUGACCUAUGAAAAUCUGAAUGAUGUGUAGCCUAAAAUU